rnacentral:rRNA from 1 species
UUAAAUGGCCGCAGUAAUUUGACUGUGCAAAGGUAGCAUAAUCAUUAGUUUUUUAAUUAAAAGCUUGUAUGAAUGGUUGGACGAGAUAAAUACUGUCUUAAAAUAAUAAAUAGAAUUUAAUUUUUAAGUUAAAAAGCUUAAAUAUUUAUAAAAGACGAGAAGACCCUAUAGAUCUUUAUAUUAUUAUAUAUAUGUUUAAUUAAGAUUAUUUUAUUAUUUAUAUUUAAUAGUAUUUUAUUGGGGUAAUAAAAAGAUUAAAUUAAUUCUUUAUUUAUUAAAAUAUUAAUUAAUAGAUUUUUGAUCCUUUAUUAGAGAUUAUAAGAUUAAGUUACCUUAGGGAUAACAGCGUAAUUUUUUUAAAGAGUUCAUAUCGAUAAAAAAGUUUGCGACCUCGAUGUUGGAUUAAAAAUUAUUCUAGGUGUAGUAGUUUAGAAUUUUGGUCUGUUCGACCAUUAAAUUUUUACAUGAUCUGAGUUCAGACCGGCGUAAGCCAGGUCGGUUUCUAUCUUUAUUUAGUUAAUAUAUUUUAGUACGAAAGGACCAAAUAUAAAUUAUAAUUAUAAUUAAAAUUUUGAAUUAUAUUAUUACUUUGGCAGAUUAGUGCAAUGAAUUUAGAAUUCAAAUAUAUAAUUUUUAUUAUAAGUAAUAUUGUUUAUAUUUGAUUAUAUUUCUCUUAUUUCUAUGUUA